GGGGGUAUAGCUCAGUGGCAGAGUGUAUGCUUGGCAAGCACAGGGUCCUGGGUUCAAUCCCCAGCCCCUCCA
rnacentral:tRNA from 1 species